CACUAUAUAGAUAUUUAUUGUUAGGUAUUAAGGAGCUGGUUGAAUUUUUGAAUGUAGCAAGACAAGGCAAACGAACGGCAAGAAUUGAAAGAACAAGAAAAACGACAACUUAAUCUAAUAUCUAACUUACAAAAGACCAACAUUUAAGACCAUUCAAGAUUUGUAGGAGAGAGGUAGCGUGAAAAAUUGAUUUCCUGUAACAUGCCUGCUGGAUGAGUCAAGAUCUAUAUCUCUGUACAUAGCUCCUUAAGUGUGACAUCAAUCAUAAAAUUAUGGGGAAACGACUUCAAGGCCCAAAAUGAAAAGCAGCUCUAUAAAGAUUGUUUUUACUUUUUCUUCAUGAGAGGAUUUUUUGAGUGCAAAGGUUCAAUUAUUUCAAUGGAGUUUUUCUCAUUAUUAUAUUUAAUGGUUUUUGUAAGCAACUGGACCCGGUAAUACAUGACAACUUAAAAGCUUGAUAUCUUUUUAGAUUAAGGUAUUAAGUAUCUGAGAAUCACAUUUUUCUGCAGCUAUUGUAAUCUUAAAUUAUUGCUUAAACAGCUGACAUGCACCUAUUUUUAAAGAUAUUAUUUUUAAAAAUAACAUUCUGUGAAGAUCCACUAAGUUGUUAUGGCAACAGAGAGUAUUUCAAAGCAGUCAGUGAUUAUUUUUGUCCUGGCUCAAAUGAGAGCUUUCAAUCAUUACCAAGCUCUAUUUUUACCAAGGAAAUCAAAUCUAGGUUGCUACGACAACUAAAAGGCUUGGCAAACAGUUUCAAUGGAUUUGAUUCAUCUUGUCAACAUGAACAAUAGAAAAUUAUUUUUAAAUGCACUAAAGUUCAUAUCUAAUCCCUGAAAAAUGUUUGCAUGGUACUUAAAACUAGUUGGAAAAUCUUGAUCAUAUUUCACCAAAUUUUAGAAUUUUUACAUCAUUCAAACUGAAAAUUUGAGCCUUUUACAGGUUAUAAAGAAAAAUGUAUGAGUAGUAAUAAAACAAAAAUAGCUUUCAGAUAUUCAACUUAUUAAUUUUAGUAUGAAUCACAAUGUUAAUCUUCCUUUACAGAGCCAGUUUGAUACUUCAUGUAAGACUACAAGAAAUGGCUGCCAUUAUUCCGUAAUAAAGUCUCAAAAGGAUCAA